rnacentral:rRNA from 1 species
UGGGGAAUAUUGGACAAUGGGCGCAAGCCUGAUCCAGCCAUGCCGCGUGAGUGAUGAAGGCCUUAGGGUUGUAAAGCUCUUUCGUCGGGGAAGAUAAUGACGGUACCCGAAGAAGAAGCCUCGGCUAACUCCGUGCCAGCAGCCGCGGUAAGACGGAGGAGGCUAGCGUUGUUCGGAAUUACUGGGCGUAAAGCGUACGCAGGCGGUUGAUCAAGUCAGGUGUGAAAGCCCGGGGCUCAACCUCGGAAUUGCGCCUGAGACUGGUCAGCUAGAGUUCGGAAGAGGAGAGUGGAAUUCCCAGUGUAGAGGUGAAAUUCGUAGAUAUUGGGAAGAACACCAGUGGCGAAGGCGACUCUCUGGUCCGAUACUGACGCUCAAGUACGAAAGCGUGGGGAGCAAA